UGAAAAUGUGUGUGUGUGUGAACAUUUUU
rnacentral:piRNA from 1 species